rnacentral:lncRNA from 1 species
UAGCUGGGUGUGGUGGCACACGCCUGUAGUUUCAGCUACUCAGGAGGCUGAGGCAGGAAAAUCGCUUGAACUCGGGAGGCAGAGGUUGCAGUGAGCCAAGAUCGCACCAUUGCACUCCAGCCUGGGCAACAAGAGUGAAACUCCUUCUCAGUCUUGGUUACCUCUGGGGCUUGACGGGCCCUGUCCUGCCCCACCUCUCUCUACAGCCUCUGGCCAUUUAUUUUAGCUGCCCCUCCCCACACACCAGCCUCUCCAGGCCCCUGCAUCACAGUCAUCUUUCUAAAGCACAGUACAGCUCAGCCUGUUGAAGAACCUGCCUUGGCUCCUCGUUGCCCAGAAAUUCAAUGUAGACAUCCUUGGUAGGCAUUCAGGGUCCCUUCUGGUCUGGCCCACCCUGCCUUCCACGCCCAUCUCCCGCCAGUUCUACUCUCAGCAACUCCAUUGCCUCUCAGCUCCCACCAGGCCUCAUGUUCCACAUCCCUGGCCUUGCUCAAGUUAUUCUCCUUGUUUUGAGCGCUCGUCCUCCCCACUUUUCCACCUGGCAAAAUCCUCCUCAUUCUUAGGGACCCAGUUAGUUCCUCCAUGAAGACUUCCCCGGCAAACUGUGUCCCCCCACCCCAGGCUUCUGUCAUAAACCACUUGUCAUUAAUCACUUAACAGUUAUCACAUUUUGUCACAGCCAGCCAGUUCCUGUUCAGUGAGUAGAGGAAAGAAAACAUGGACUUUGUUACCAGACUAUAUGAUGGAAUCUCAGCUUGGCUACUCACCAGCUAUGCGACCCUGGGCAAGUUACUUAACCUCUGAGCUUUGGUUUUCUCAUCUACUAAAUGGGGAUAAUGCUCAUAUUUAACCCGGAUUCCUCACCAGGCCUGCAAAGCCUUGCCUGCCUCCUGUCUCCUGUUGCUCUCCACAUCUCACCCACAUCAACGUCCCUGCCCCUCCUUGAACAUUCUCAGUCCUUUCUUGCGUCCCUGCCUUUGCACCUGCCCUUCUCUACCUGGAAUGUUUCCUUCUCAUUCCAUUCUCCACCUCAUUUCCAAUGUCACCUCCUCAGAGAGGCCCUCUGCAACCACCUUCUCUAAAUCCCCCGCCUGGUUUUGCUUCAUCUUACUUUCUGUUUAUUUUCUUCUAGGGCUUAUCCCAACCUGAAAUUUCCCUACUUUCUGGCUUGCUUGUCAGCUCCGUGAGUGUGGGGCUCUUUUCUCUGGGAACUCAGAAGAUGAACAGACUUGAUACGUGUUAGUCCUGGCCUCUCCUCUUCCUCCAAGCCACACCUGCUCAUCUGUGAGCCCCUUCAGGGCAGGGCAUCAUGUCCUCCUCAUUUUUGCUUUCUUGACCCUGAGCAGUAUGCCUGGUCCAUAGUGAACCCUUAGCCUGUAUUUGCUGCCUGCCUGCCUGUCAUUGUCUUCCCCAACCUUUUCCCUUAGCAGCCCUUGGUGAUCUCCUGAUGGUUUCUAACACAUGCUGCAGGUUACAUGUGGAGCUGAGCCUGAUAUCUCCCAGAGUGGGAAUGUCCAGGGGUGGCCUCAUGUUUCUGCCACUUACUUUGCUUUCCAGCCCAGGACAGGAUUUUGAGUGGAGAGUUUGGGGUAUAUUACUGGCUGUAGCAUUAGGGACCUUGGCCACGCCCUUUGCAUUACCCUGCGUGGUAGGACAAUACCUAGAAUGGUCUGGUCAAACCCGAGAGACUUACAGAAGGUCAAGAGGACACAGCGAUGCUCAUAGGCCCCUCUCAGUGGGGAGAUUGGGCUGUGACUUGUUCAGGCGGAGUGGGGUCCACACAGUCUGAUGAAGCUUCAUUUGGUUCAGAGGAAAAUUGCUCUCUGAACACAGACCAUCCCUUCUUUUUUUUUUUUUUUUUUUUUUUGAGAUGGAGUUUUGCUCUUGUUGCCCAGGUUGGAGUGCAGUGGCAUGAUCUCGGCUCACCACAACCUCUGCCUCCUGGGUUCAAGUGAUUCUCCUGCCUCGGCCUCCCGAGUAGCUGGGAUUACAGGCAUGCGCCACCAUGGCUGGCUAAUUUUUUGUAAUUUUAGUAGAGACGGGGUUUCUCCGUGUUGGUCAGGCUGGUCUUGAACUCCUGAUCUCAGGUGACCCACCCUCCUUGGCCUCCCAAAGUGCUGGGGUUAUAGGUGUGAGCCACUGCGCCCGGACUCCAUCCCUUCUUAAGCUGACCCAGGGGUCUGGUAAUUGAGUGAGUGUGAUGGCUCAAUGUUACCCACCUCCUCUGGCAUCAGGAUGUAGGGACCAGUCCGUUGGUAUGCAGAGGUUGUGGUACCCAGCCUGGCAUCAGCGAUGCUGGGAAGAGGGAAUGCUGUUGCCUGUCUGCUGCUGUGGGAAUGACAGAGAGGGCUGGAAGGAGUGGCCUGGCAGGGAUGGACCCCAGGGCCCGUGCCUUCCUUGUGCUCACUGAGCAAAUGAAGCAGGAUUCACUCCCUGCUGGGAGAGGGAGAUUAGGGUUAGGGAGCACAGUGUUGUGCUCUCAGAUUUGAGGAUUUAUCAAUAAAAAUUCAAAAAGUCAUUUUGGGAACUGGCAUAAAGGUUCGUGGCAUCUUAUUUUGUCAAGUAAGGACACAGGAUAGGUAAAAAAUUAGUUUCCUACUAUUGUAUCCUAAAAAAUGAAUAUUUUAAUACCAAAAAUUGAAAACAAGAAUAGUUCUUCCCUAGAAAGGCCGAACAGCAUUCUUAUGCUGACAUUUUGAGCUAUGGACAGGGGAGAACAAGGUCAGAAACCAGCUCCUGGGAAUUGUUGGGUAAGGAGUUUGGAGAGCGUGUGCGUGUGAAGGGAGAUAGUGUUGAAGCAGGUUGCUGGCCUGGUGGCAUGAUUGGAGGGAAAGGGCCUGAAUAUUUCCUGGAUUAGUCCAGAAUAUUUCCUGGAUUAGUUUAGAAAUUCUUCAGUCCCCUCUAUCACUUAGGCUUCCUGUGGAUUAACUCGUUUUCUCUUUGAAAGUGUAAACAUCCCAUGGGCAGGGUCCAUCAGAGAACCUCGACAAGUGUUGCUCUGUGUACAACCUCCCGGGAGGGUGUCUGUACAGGUGAAAUCUGGCUGGGAUAAAUGUCAAGGACAUGUGUGGGGAAAGGAGAGGGAGGAAAGAAACCAACCCUUGCUGGUCCUUACUGUGUUCCUGCACUACACUUAGGGCUUUUUCAUGAGUUAACAAAGAGCUGCUGCUUAUCUCCAUUUUACAGAUGAGAAAACUGAGGCCCAGAAAGACUCAGUGAUUUGCCCAAGGUCACACAGCCAGUGUUGGAACCAGCAUUUACAUUCAGGCCUAUGUGAACUCAAGUUCAGAGCUUUUAUUUCUCCAGCAGGCCAAGGCACAAAAAAUUUUAAAAACAACUUGAGUCCCAUCUUCCUGUUGGCAUAGUGUCUGGCAGACAUCUUUUUGAUUCGUUCUGUCCAUCUGGAAACACUGUGGCUGACUCUGUGUUGGCAGCUCCCAGGCCCUUGGAGGGGAGGUUCAAAACUCACAUUUUUUUUUAACUUAAGAGAAUUCUGGCAGAGUACACAUAAAAGUUGCCAUUUUAACCAUUUUAAAAUGUUUUAUUUAUUUAGGAGACAGUCUCACUCUGUCACCCAGGCUGCAGUGUAGUGGUGCAAUCUCGGCUCACUGCAACCUCUGCCUCCUGUGUUCAAGUGAUUCUCCUGUCUCAGCCUCGCAAGUAGCUGGGAUUACAGGUGUGUGCCAACACGCCUGCCUAAUUUUUUGUGUUUUUAGUAGAGAUGGGGUCUCACCAUGUUGCCCAGGCUGGUCACAAACUCCUGAGCUCAGGCAAUCCGCCCACCUUGGCCUCCCAAAGUUCUGGGAUUACAGGCGUGAGCCCUGCACCUGGCCUUAAAAAGUGUAUAAUUUAGCAGCAUUUAGUACAUUGAAAAUGCUGUGCAGGCUGGGCACGGUGGCUCAUGCCUGUAAUCCCAACACUUUGGGAGGCUGAGGCGGGUGGAUUGCUUGAGCCCAGGAGUUCAAAACCAGCCUGGGCAACAUGGGGAGACCCUGUAUCUACAAAAAAAAAAUACAAAAAUGAGUUCUUGUGAUGGUGUGCCCAUGUAGUUAGCUACUUGGGAGGCUGAGGUGGGAGGACUGCUUGAGCUCAGGAGGUUGAGGCUGUGGUGAGCGGAGAUCAUGCCACUGUACUCCAACCUGGGUGACAGAGUGAGACCCUAUCUCAAAAAAAAAAAGAAAAGAAAAGAAAAAAAAAGAAAAUGCUUCUUGACUGUCACCACCCCCCAGUUCCACACCGCUCCUCAGUCCCUGACUCCCAGCCCCUGGCAGCCAGCAAUCUGCAUUCUGUCUCUAAAAAUCUCCCCAUUCUGAACAUUUCCUAUAAAUGGGAUUGUACACUAUAUGGCCUUUUGUGUCUGGCUUCUUCUACUCAGCAUAAUGUUUUCAAGGUUCAUCCAUGUUGUAGCAUGUGUCGGUAUUUUGUUUCUUUUUAUGAGACUGAAUAAUAUUCCAUUGUAUGGAUAUACCCACAUUUUGUUUAUCCAUUCAUCAGUGGUGGACAUAGGGGUUGUUUCCACUGUUGGGGUUGUGAAUAGUGCUGCUGUGAACAUUCUUGUGCAAGCUUUUGUCUGAACAAGUGUAUUUAAUUUGUUUUAGUCUAUACUAAGAGUGGAAUUUCAGGGUCCUGUCGUGCUUCUGUGUUUAGCUUAAGGUGGAACUGCCAAACUUCCACGGCAGCUGUACCCUUUUACAUUCCCACUAGCAAUGUGUGAGGGAUCUCAUUUCUCCACAUCUUCACCAACACUUAUAUUUCAUUAAAGAUUUUUUAUUAUAACCACCCUAGUGGGUGUGAAAUGA